CCCUUAGAUGGUCUGGGCGGCACGCGCGCUACAAUGAUGCAUUCAAAAGGUCUUCUGACCUUAGAAGGUUGGGUAUUCUCCAAAGUGCAUCGUGAUGGGAAUAGUUUAUUGCAAUUUUUAAUCUUGAACGAGGAAUUCCUAGUAAGUACAGGUCAUCAACUUGUGUUGAUUACGUCCCUGCCCUUUGUACACACCGCCCGUCGCUCCUACUGAUUGAGUGUCUCGGUGAAUUCUUUGAUCUUCUGUCGAUUCAGUUCACUGAUCCGACGGUGGAAAGUUGAAUGAACUUCGUCACUUAGAGGAAGGAGAAGUCGUAACA
rnacentral:rRNA from 1 species